CUUGUAUUAUUAGUUCUGUGAUGGAAUAGAAUAGUUUCCGAAUGCCAGCAAAUAUAAGUCCAUUAACUAUUUAAUCAUUCGUAUUUUACUUUUCCCAUAACCAUUUUAAGGAAGACACGUGCGUUUGGAUCGGCAUUUUCGAAUUUUGGAAUAUUUUUAUAUCUUUGAACUCUAUAUACAGCUCAUUUUUGUUAGUUGGCGUAUAUCAUUAAUAUAGAAGCUUAUCAUGUUUGAAAAAGGAAGAUUAAUUUGGAUUCAGGAACCUACUGUGCAAAGUACAAAUGCAAAAGAAAGAAGAAUAAUUUGGAUUCAGACACCACCUACAUCUAAUACAAAAACUAAAGGUACCUAAAAAUCAAAAUAUUUGCCCCUUUUUUAAAAAGUACGGAUAAUCAACAAAAGGAGAAGAGGAUUUUAUGAUUGCUGGAUCCAAUAGUAUCCGAUUGGAAUUAGGAGCAAAUCCGACUGCUUUAUAUUUCGAAUAAAUUCUCAGUGUUAAUUUGUUUUUUUUUUUUUUAAAUUGAAAGUCCAAAUAAAAAUUGUCGUACAACGAA